rnacentral:tRNA from 1 species
GGGCAAGUGGUGGAAUGGCAUACACGUUGGACUUAAAAUCCAAUGGCCGUAAGGCUGUGUGGGUUCAACUCCCACCUUGCCCA